GACGAACGCUGGCGGCGUGCUUAACACAUGCAAGUCGAACGGAAAGGCCCUGCUUGCAGGGUACUCGAGUGGCGAACGGGUGAGUAACACGUGGGUGAUCUGCCCUGCACUUCGGGAUAAGCCUGGGAAACUGGGUCUAAUACCGGAUAGGAGCCAUUUUUAGUGUGAUGGUUGGAAAGUUUUUUCGGUGUAGGAUGAGCUCGCGGCCUAUCAGCUUGUUGGUGGGGUAAUGGCCUACCAAGGCGGCGACGGGUAGCCGGCCUGGGAGGGUGGACGGCCACAUGGGGCCUGAGUGCCGGCCCAGACUCCUACGGGAGGCAGCAGUGGGGAAUAUUGCACAAUGGGCGCAAGCCGGAUGCAGCGACGCCGCGUGGGGGAUGACGGCCUUCGGGUUGUAAACUCCUUUCGCUAGGGACGAAGCUUUUGUGACGGUACCGAGAUAAGAAGCACCGGCUAACUACGU
rnacentral:rRNA from 1 species